AGUGAACGCUGGCGGCGUGCCUAAUACAUGCAAGUCGAGCGGAAGUUGAAGAGCUUGCUCUUCAACUUUAGCGGCGGACGGGUGAGUAACACGUGGGCAACCUGCCCUGCAGAUCUGGAUAACUCCGGGAAACCGGUGCUAAUACCGAAUAGUUUUGGGUCCCUCCUGGGACCUAACGGAAAGACGGUUUCGGCUGUCACUGCAGGAUAGGCCCGCGGCGCAUUAGCUAGUUGGUGGGGUAACGGCCCACUAAGGCGACGAUGCGUAGCCGACCUGAGAGGGUGAUCGGCCACGCUGGGACUGAGACGCGGCCCAGACUCCUACGGGAGGCAGCAGAAGGGAAUCUUCCGCAAUGGACGCAAGUCUGACGGAGCAACGCCGCGUGAGUGAUGAAGGUUUUCGGAUCGUAAGACUCUGUUGCGAGGGAAGAAACCGUGCCAAUUAACUACUGGCACCUUGACGGUACCUCGCCAGAAAGCCACGGCUAACUACGUGCCAGCCGCCGCGGUAA
rnacentral:rRNA from 1 species